rnacentral:rRNA from 1 species
AGUGAACUGCAAACCCAUGUGAACAUACCUACUGUUGCUUCGGCGGGAUUGCCCCGGGCGCCUCGUGUGCCCCGGAUCAGGCGCCCGCCUAGGAAACUCAACUCUUGUUUUAUUUUGGAAUCUUCUGAGUAGUUUUUACAAAUAAAUAAAAACUUUCAACAACGGAUCUCUUGGUUCUGGCAUCCAUGAAGAACGCAGCGAAAUGCGAUAAGUAAUGUGAAUUGCAGAAUUCAGUGAAUCAUCGAAUCUUUGAACGCACAUUGCGCCCGCCAGUAUUCUGGCGGGCAUGCCUGUCUGAGCGUCAUUUCAACCCUCAUGCCCCUAGGGCGUGGUGUUGGGGAUCGGCCAAAGCCCGCGAGGGACGGCCGGCCCCUAAAUCUACUGGCGGACCCGUCGUGGCCUCCCCUGCGAAGAAGUGAUAUUCCGCAUCGGAGAGCGACGAGCCCCUGCCGUUAAACCCCCAACUUUCCAAGGUUGACCUCAGAUCAGGUAGGAAUACCCGCUGAACUUAAGCAUAUCAAUAAGCGGAGGAA